rnacentral:lncRNA from 1 species
UUUGGGACAGAAAGCCAAGCAUGGAGAAGUGUUUUUUAAUGGCAAUGAGGCCAAGUUAUUGACACUUGACAGAGUGAAGUCAGGAUGCUGCUGACAUUACCAAGUUAUCCCCCACAUCUUGCUCGUUGGGGACGUCGCGCGAGAACCAGAGCGCGCUGCUGCCGUCCUCCACCUCGCCCUUGAGGUCGAGCAGCUCGAAGAUGAGGCUCUCGUCACGGGCGGGGUCGACGAGAACUUCCUG